UACGUAGGGUGCGAGCGUUUGUCCGGAAUUAUUGGGCGUAAAGAGCUUGUAGGCGGUUUGUCGCGUCUGCUGUGAAAAUCCGGGGCUCAACCCCGGACUUGCAGUGGGUACGGGCAGACUGGAGUGUGGUAGGGGAGACUGGAAUUCCUGGUGUAGCGGUGAAAUGCGCAGAUAUCAGGAGGAACACCGGUGGCGAAGGCGGGUCUCUGGGCCGAUACUGACGCUGAGGAGCGAAAGCGUGGGGAGCGAACAGG
rnacentral:rRNA from 1 species